UCCAGUUGUGAUUAUGCGCAGAGUUUCCUUGUACUGAGCUUAGUUUUCUCCACCCACUACUUAGUGAGAACUCUUUAACUAGAAGACUAACAACUUAAAGCUUUAUCCCUGUGAGUACCAGAAAAGUGAUCUGAGUAUUUAUUAAACAGAGAGAACAAACUGCCUACUUCAGGCAGGGAGGAAGCGUAUGGAAAUUAUAUUAGAACUUCAGCAAAGUGCAGAGCUGCAUAAUACAGAAGCUGGGACUCAAAUUGACAGGCUAAUAAGCCAGCUCACUGAAGGGGGCUCUGUGUGGCAGCUCUGAGCUACUAAGUGUUGGACAACUAUAGGCAAAAUGUGAAAUGGAACAGGGCAGAAAAUAACACACUAACUUCAGGCAACUGUUGCUUUCUCCUGGUCUUCAGGGAUUUUACAUUCUGUAGCUGGCAAAACAAGUCCCCAUUUAAAUAUUAAGCUUACUACACUAAUGAAUCACCAUUCUGAGUGGAAUUAUGCUUCAUUCUUCUGUUGCAGACUGUGAAGUACUUGUUCCCUGGAACUGCACCUGUUCAGCAUGACACCCUGCUUUCCUGGUGAUGUCACAUGCAGCACUGACUAUAAUUGGAGAAUGGAACCUCUUUGUGGGUGCAAGGUGGAUGACUGCCGUUAUGACUUUUGCAAAAAGAUCCUUUUUGUUUCACAGAUUAGGGGAGUGAAAUCAUUACUGGAUACAGAAAAGAAAAUAAACUAAUCCACACUCAUGAGACACCUGGCUCCCAGCCAGGCAAAGGAGAAAAUAAGGACAGGAAAUCUCUUAGCUGCAUGGUGGAUUGGAGCUGACGUAUCCUGCUCUCACUGUGGUGUAGAAAGCAGUCUGUUACAGUGCUGGAUUAAUCAAAGGGGCCUUUAUGGUUUGUGAAAGAAUAUCUGUGUGCUUAGGCAGGAAACUUUUUGAUCCACAGAAAAGCCAGACGACAUCUAGGACCAGACAAGACAAUUUUAGACUCACGCUUAUUGUGAUAUCCUCAGUGCUUGUUAUCGUAUAUUCUUCAGAGGUCUGCCCACUAUGAUAAAUUGUACAGCUGAACCGCUUCCUGAAGAGCACUGAAUUUUCUAUACCAGAUUCUACUUCAGUGGCCAGGACCUUUAUGGCCACUGAUUCUUUUGCUCUGGGUUCUGAAAAAACAUCGUGGAUCCAUCCCUAAAGUAGAAAUGUUCUUUUCCGUCCCGCAAGCAAGGCUAAAGAUUGGAGGAGAAUGAAUGUGAAUCUAAUUCAGGAUUGCGGUCGUGCCAUUAAAAGUUUUCAGCUUCAGAACAAAAUGAUUUGGGAAAUAUGAUCAGUUUUCUUACUCUAUCAACAAUGUUUAAAAGUUGUAGGUGGUUCAAGUGACUUGACUCAAAUAACGACAAUCUUUGCAUGUCAAUAAUGGCUACAGUUUAAGGAGUGAAAGAUAGUUUUGAGUUUGGAAAAGAAGAAACUGUUAAUAUCAGCCUGUAAUGGGAUUAAAUGUUGAAUAUGGGGAAGAGGCAAAAAGCAAAUAGAUGCCCGAAAGUUAUCCUUGCACUGAGGAUGGGUUUAAAGUGCUGUAUAUCCUAGGGCCCACCUUACUGAAGAGGUAUAAUGGGGAAAUAUUUCAAUUAGAAACCCAUUAACAAGCAUUUAAUCCUUCUUUAAGGCAUUAGAGGAAAUAGAAUAAAACAUUUACUGUACAAAUCUGCUGCAAGCAGACUUUAACCCAUUUAUAGACUUAUCCUUCUGAUGUAUUGUACUAUGGCUACUCAUGAGUCAGGAUAGUAAAGAUUUUAUUUGUACUCCUUUUUUCCAAAGUUGUGGAAUCUAUUCUAAGAAGUGUCUUGAUCAAUCAGCUGAUAUUAUUGUUUUGAAUGUCUGUGUGUAUAUUGUCUACUUAUUUGAUCUUUUCCAACCCCUACUUGAAAAGGUGGGUUUUUUAUACAACAGCAACAAAAGUUUUACUGAAUGUAAUCUUGACGACUAAGUGAUUCAGAUUAUUUGAAGAAGAAUUCUACUGGAUCAUAUCGGACUUUUCCUAGUCCCUGAGACCCUAACUUGUGAGGUUUUUUAGCAACAAUCACAAGUCAGGCUCUUGGGACCUAGGCGGAGGGGAACCAGCAGCUUUGGACUUUAUUGAUUGUUUAUCUGCAAUAUUAACAGAACCAAAGGAGAUUUUCUUAUCUGGGGGAAAAUAUUUAUUUCAGAUGUUAAGCAUUAGUGUUAUGCUACAAAAAAAUUGCUGCUAUGUAUUGUACAAUAUAAAGAUUCUACAUAAUUUGUAUGUUUGGAAACCUAUAUUGUAGUGGAUAACAUGUAACAUUUCAAAUUAAAAUUUAAAAUGAAUGACAGAUAUCUACAUAAAAAAAUCAAGUACUGAAGGAUAAAUGCACUGUUUUCAACCAUAAGUUGCUAUUAUGGAUCCUUCUGGUGGAUAAUAAAACAAAACACAUUUCCAGAUGUAUUGCUAUAAUAUUUAAUGAACUUUUUGAAACUUUACAAAUUAUAUAUUGAUCUGUGAGGCCUAGCAAAUGCAUUCAUACUGUUGUCUUUGGGGUAAUAAUCUGAGCAUGCAAGAAAACUGUUGCUUCUUUUUUCCUGUAAGGCUGUGCAGAGAUUCCUUUAUAGUUGUUACUAUUUCUCUUAGUCUAUAUAAUAAUACAAUACAGGUUCUCAUUUGGUGUAUUAACCUCUUACUCUGAAAGAAAAGAGAAAGCUGGUGUCAAAUUCAUAAUGCUGUGUUGAAGUCACUUUGCACACAGAACUACAUACUUUUCAUCUACUUACUGUAUCUCAGCAGAGAAGACCGGACACCAGGAAUUAGGCUCAAACUUUAGUCUCUUCCCUCACUUUUUACUUUUCACUUAUAAAAACAGACUAACUGUUGUGUUGUCCCCAUAUGCUGAAUACUUCAGUGACUUCAGCAUAAGAUUUACCAGGACACAGCUACUUUGUAAUGUCUAUCACUCCUAAAGUGCUGAACCAGAACACAGAACAUUUGACUGUAUUUCUUAAUAUUUUAUAAGUAGUUUGGUCCUGAUUAAUUUUUGUUUGUUUCCUGUAUCUAACCCAAGAUGGUGCAGCACCCUGUUAAUAGUGUACUAAUGUCACACUUCACUGAUUGAAACAAAGGCUUUACUUAGGGCAAGCAUCUAAACAAUUUGGUCAUUUUGAAACUGAUAUUUUGGCUCCAGUUUAUUUUUCCCACGUAUGUGGGAGGAAUUGUGUUUUAUUGUAAUGCUAUUGUUAAAAUAAAUUAUUAUUAAACAGAAUAAUUCAAA